UGCCUACGGGGGGCAGCAGUGGGGAAUAUUGCACAAUGGGGGAAACCCUGAUGCAGUGACGCCGCGUGAGUGAAGAAGUAUUUCGGUAUGUAAAGCUCUAUCAGCAGGGAAGAUAAUGACGGUACCUGACUAAGAAGCCCCGGCUAACUACGUGCCAGCAGCCGCGGUAAUACGUAGGGGGCAAGCGUUAUCCGGAUUUACUGGGUGUAAAGGGAGCGUAGACGGCAUAGCAAGUCUGAAGUGAAAGCCCAAGGCUCAACCAUGGGACUGCUUUGGAAACUGUUAAGCUAGAGUGCUGGAGAGGG
rnacentral:rRNA from 1 species